rnacentral:rRNA from 1 species
GAUGAACGCUAGCUACAGGCUUAACACAUGCAAGUCGCGGGGCAGCAUGGGGGUUGCUUGCAAUCCCCGAUGGCGACCGGCGCACGGGUGAGUAACGCGUAUCCAACCUGCCCUUCACCACGGGAUAACCCGGCGAAAGUCGGACUAAUACCGUAUGUUGUCCAUUGACGGCAUCCGAUUUGGACGAAAGGCUUGGCGGUGAGGGAUGGGGAUGCGUCCGAUUAGCCAGACGGCGGGGUAACGGCCCACCGUGGCUACGAUCGGGAGGGGUUCUGAGAGGAAGGUCCCCCACACUGGAACUGAGACACGGUCCAGACUCCUACGGGAGGCAGCAGUGAGGAAUAUUGGUCAAUGGGCGUAAGCCUGAACCAGCCAAGUAGCGUGCAGGAUGACGGCCCUAUGGGUUGUAAACUGCUUUUAUGCGGGGAUAAAGUGGCCCACGUGUGGGCUUUUGCAGGUACCGCAUGAAUAAGGACCGGCUAAUUCCGUG